rnacentral:rRNA from 1 species
AGUCCACAUCGACGGGGAGGUUUGGCACCUCGAUGUCGGCUCAUCACAUCCUGGGGCUGUAGUAGGUCCCAAGGGUUGGGCUGUUCGCCCAUUAAAGUGGUACGCGAGCUGGGUUCAGAACGUCGUGAGACAGUUCGGUCCCUAUCCGUCGCAGGCGUAGGAAAUUUGAGAAGACCUGUCCUUAGUACGAGAGGACCGGGAUGGACGUACCUCUGGUGUACCAGUUGUCCUGCCAAGGGCAUGGCUGGGUAGCUAUGUACGGAAUGGAUAAGCGCUGAAAGCAUCUAAGCGCGAAGCCAACUUCAAGAUAAGAUGUCCCACCGCAAGGGUAAGACCCCAGAAAGACUAUCUGGUUGAUAGGUCGAAGGUGUAAGUGCAGCAAUGUAUUUAGCUUAUCGAUACUAAUAGGUCGAGGACUUGACCAAU